rnacentral:rRNA from 1 species
GACGAACGCUGGCGGCGUGCCUAACACAUGCAAGUCGAACGGAAAGGCCCGGCUUUUGUGGGGUGCUCGAUUGGCGAACGGGUGAGUAACACGUGAGUAACCUGCCCUUGACUUUGGGAUAACUUCAGGAAACUGGGGCUAAUACCGGAUAGGAGCUCCUGCUGCAUGGGGGGGGUUGGAAAGAUUCGGCGGUUGGGGAUGGACUCGCGGCUUAUCAGCUUGUUGGUGGGGUAGUGGCUUACCAAGGCUUUGACGGGUAGCCGGCCUGAGAGGGUGACCGGCCACAUUGGGCCUGAGAUACGGCCCAGACUCCUACGGGAGGCAGCAGUGGGGAAUAUUGCACAAUGGGCGGAAGCCUGAUGCAGCAACGCCGCGUGCGGGAUGACGGCCUUCGGGUUGUAAACCGAUUUCGCCUGUGCCGAAGCGUGAGUGACGGUAAUGGGUAAAGAAGCACCGGCUAACUACGUG